rnacentral:rRNA from 1 species
UACGAAGGGGGCUAGCGUUGCUCGGAAUUACUGGGCGUAAAGCGCACGUAGGCGGCUUUCUAAGUCGGGGGUGAAUCCUGGAGCUCAACUCCAGAACUGCCUUCGAUACUGGAAAGCUCGAGUCCGGGAGAGGUGAGUGGAACUGCGAGUGUAGAGGUGAAAUUCGUAGAUAUUCGCAAGAACACCAGUGGCGAAGGCGGCUCACUGGCCCGGUACUGACGCUGAGGUGCGAAAGCGUGGGAGCAACAGG